rnacentral:lncRNA from 1 species
CAAGGAGGUGUGUGGGCUGGGGCCAAGCUGUCCCAGUGGGUGAACAGAGCCCUCCUCCCCGCCCCCCCCCCGCCCCCCGCGGGGGCCAUGGGGCUCCUUCCCCAGGGCUGCAGCCAGGAACCCUAAUUCAGAAGAAAUCUGGGGGGGUUGCACUUUUUUCCGAGCAGAGCUGCUGGCCACGCUGGGCUACGAGCCCCCCGUCCGAGCUGGUGGGUGGUCCCAGUGCAUCGCAGGGCAAUGUCAUACGGAGCCUUACGGGGCGGGGGCAGAGGGGUCCCCGGCUGGGGAUGUCAGGACCCCCCCCCCCCCCCGCCAAAUGUCUCAGCGAGGGGGGAGACACAGCCCCCGGGCAGGCUGGCAGCCCCGCGGCGAGCAGCAGCCACCAAGUGCGGGGCCAGCCCGGGGCGGGGAGGGGGGGCGUUGCGGGGCGGCCCCGGCCGCGGAAAGGGCGGCGGCGGCGGCGGCGGCGGCGGCGGCGUGGGGGGGUCCCCCCGCGCGGAGCGGGGGCCGGGCGGGGGGAGCGGCGGGGAGCGGCGGCUGCGGGCGGGCGGGCGGGCGGGCGGGCGGCUGCGAGCGGCUCGGCCCCGGGUGCCCCAAGGGCUGCCUGAGAGCCGGAGGCUUCCCCGGGGCUCCUGCCGAGCGCGGAGCAUCUCCUUCCUCCCGCCCGCCCGGCGGGCACCGGCACCAUCGGCACCGACACCGACACCGGCACCAUCGGCACCGACACCGGCAUCAGCACCAUCGGCACCAUCAGCGCGGGCACCGGCACCGGCAUCGGCACCGGCACCCGUGGCAACAUCGGCAGCAGCAUCGACACCGAUACCGACAGCAACACCGGCAUCGGUAUCGACGUCAACACCGGCACAGGCUUCGGCACCGGCAGCGGCACCAACACCGGCACCGACACCGGCACCGCCAUCGGCACCGGUAUCGGCAUUGCUAUCGACGUUGGCACAGGCUCCAGCAGAGCCCAGCCAGGGUCACUCGUCCUGCUCGGCACAGCGCCUGCGCCCAAGGACUCGGAGACCUUGGCUCGUCCUCCACCUGAGAGCAAUUCCCAGGGGGGCACCGGUUGGAGCCGGAGGGGACCCGGCCGGGAGUCCCCGUCUCCCGUGGGGUCCCUCACUGGCUGGGAGACGUCGAGAGGGGGAACCGCCAGGCCGGGGAGCAGAGCAGGAGCCUGGGCACGGGUGA